UCCCUGCUUUUCUAGUGGUAAGGAUUUGGCGCUCUCACCGCCACAACCCGGGUUCGAUUCCUGGUCAGGGAA
rnacentral:tRNA from 1 species